rnacentral:rRNA from 1 species
AUUGAACGCUGGCGGCAGGCCUAACACAUGCAAGUCGAACGAGUGGCGGACGGGUUAGUAAUGUCUGGGACACUGCCUGAUGGAGGGGGAUAACUACUGGACACGGUAGCUAAUACCGCAUACCUUCGGAUCUGCCCUGAUGGGAUUAGCUAGUAGGUGGGGUAACGGCCGACCUAGGCGACGAUCCCUAGCUGGUCUGAGAGGAUGACCAGCCACACGGGAACUGAGACACGGUCCGGACUCCUACGGGAGGCAGCAGUGGGGAAUAUUGGACAAUGGGCGCAAGCCUGAUGCAGCCAUGCCGGGUGUGUGAAGAAGGCCUUCGGGUUGUAAAGUACUUUAAGCGAGGAGGCGUUACUCGCAGAAGAAGCACCGGCUAACUCCGUGCCAGCCGCCGCGGUAAUAC